rfam:Megamonas hypermegale ART12/1 draft genome.
GUGCCCAUAGUCUAAUGGAUAGAACGUUGACCUCCGGAGUCAAAAAUACAGGUUCGAUUCCUGUUGGGCACA